CCCGCCUCUCCUGCCUCGCCCUCCUCUGGAGAGUCACCGGGUGGGACGUGACCGCAGCGGAGGCACCGGCCGCGGAGGCAAGCUUUCCUGAUGGACCCUGUGAUCAGAGCCAGUGGAGCCUGGAACUCAACUGGUUUGGCCCCACUGUUCACCAACGCAUCCACACGCAGCCAGUGCAGCUCCUCUGGACCACAACAAACCCCUUUUUAUUACAUAAUUAGUGCACUGCUUGCACUGCACAUUUUUGGGGCUCAUAAUUUUAGUGAAAUGCAACCAAACUGGAGAAACAUGGAGACAGCCCUUGGGGGGGGGGAGCGGUUUUUAAAAAGAUAAUGCAAAUGUGUUUAAUUAAUGUUUCUAAAACGGAAGAAAACAUGUUUUGUGGAAGAGGGAGCGGCGAUCGCCGAAGCAGGACGGUGGAUCUAGGACACUUGGAAGUCGGCCAUCCCUGCUGGCCUGUAGUUUGACUGAAUGGUGUCAUUAAGCACAAUGUAUGAGGUGUAUCGGGGAGGUGGAGGAAAUCGUUGCGGUGCCACGCAGAGCUCAUAAGCAUCUGCAACAUGUGUGUUCCCGUCGUUUUCCAGAAGAUACGCUAAUUCAAGCUGGAGUUCAUCUGAGAGCCCUUAGAAUGCUUCUCCAGGUAAACCUGGUAAUGUAAAUGACUAAAGCAAUUAGAAUGUAUGUUUAAAGCCUUAAUCUUAGCCAAGAUCAUAACCGUGUGCCUUUUAAAAAUUAUAUUCAUGAUCAUUACGGUUCCUGAAUUAACAUCACGCUUUCCCGAAUUCGGAUAAUUUUUUUUUUUUUGUCGCUGGUCAUCAUCGCUAGUGUUUUUUUUUUAUUUGCUGUAUCAUUAUAUUUGUUAUAUUGGCUGGUUUCAAAGAACUGAGCAAGACAUGUCUUGGUCAGUAAACACUUUCAAAGAUUAAAAAUUGAAUAAAACUGCCAGCGUAAGGCCGAGCCUUACCUCUUAACUUCUCCUUUGAGGCUACAGGUCUGGCACCAAACCAGAGGAUGUCGUCCUUCAGCGUGAACAAUGGCCCCAUUAAACUUGUAUUUUGCUUGUGA